rnacentral:rRNA from 1 species
AUUGAACGCUGGCGGCAGGCCUAACACAUGCAAGUCGAGCGGAUGAAGGGAGCUUGCUCCUGGAUUCAGCCGCGGACGGGUGAGUAAUGCCUAGGAAUCUGCCUGGUAGUGGGGGAUAACGUCCGGAAACGGGCGCUAAUACCGCAUACGUCCUGAGGGAGAAAGUGGGGGAUCUUCGGACCUCACGCUAUCAGAUGAGCCUAGGUCGGAUUAGCUAGUUGGUGGGGUAAAGGCCUACCAAGGCGACGAUCCGUAACUGGUCUGAGAGGAUGAUCAGUCACACUGGAACUGAGACACGGUCCAGACUCCUACGGGAGGCAGCAGUGGGGAAUAUUGGACAAUGGGAGAAAGCCUGAUCCAGCCAUGCCGCGUGUGUGAAGAAGGUCUUCGGAUUGUAAAGCACUUUAAGUUGGGAGGAAGGACAGUAAGUUAAUACCUUGCUGUUUUGACGUUACCAACAGAAUAAGCACCGGCUAACUUCGUG